rnacentral:misc_RNA from 1 species
GAUGAAGAACGCAGCGAAAUGCGAUAAGUAGUGUGAAUUGCAGAAUUCAGUGAAUCAUCGAAUCUUUGAACGCACAUUGCGCCCCUUGGUAUCCCGAGGGGCAUGCCUGUUCGAGCGUCAUUUCACCACUCAAGCCUGGCUUGGUGUUGGGCGACGUCCUCUUUGGGGACGCGCCUCGAAACGCUCGGCGGCGUGGCACCGGCUUUAAGCGUAGCAGAAUCUUUCGCUUUGGAAGUCGGGGCCCCGUCUGCCGGAAGACCUGCCCGCAAGGUUGACCUCGGAUCAGGCAGGGAUACCCGCUGAACUUAAGCAUAUCAAUAAGCGGAGGA